rnacentral:rRNA from 1 species
CACGUAGGGUGCGAGCGUUGUCCGGAAUUAUUGGGCGUAAAGAGCUCGUAGGCGGUGUGUCGCGUCGGCCGUGAAAACCUGCAGCUUAACUGUGGGCUUGCGGUCGAUACGGGCAUCACUGGAGUUCGGCAGGGGAGACUGGAAUUCCUGGUGUAGCGGUGAAAUGCGUAGAUAUCAGGAGGAACACCCGAGGCGAAGGCGGCUCUCUGGGUCGGACCUGACGCUGAGGCGCGAAAGCGUGGGGAGCGAACGGG